GACUACUAGGGUAUCUAAGCCUGUUUGCUCCCCACGCUUUCGCGCCUCAGCGUCAGUAUUGCGCCAGUGUGCUGCCUUCGCCAUCGGUGUUCUUCCUGAUAUCUACGCAUUCCACCGCUACACCAGGAAUUCCGCACACCUCUCACAUACUCAAGCCAGGCAGUAUCGAACGCAGUUCCACGGUUGAGCCGUGGGAUUUCACAUUCGACUGACCAGGCCGCCUACACGCCCUUUACGCCCAAUAAUUCCGGACAACGCUUGCUCCCCCCGUAUUACCGCGGCUGCUGGCACGGAGUUAGCCGGAGCUUCCUCUGGAGAUAACGUCAGACCAGGGUGGUAUUGGCACCCCGGCGAUUCUUCUCUCCUGACAGAGUUUUACAACCCGUAGGGCCUUCAUCACUCACGCGGCGUCGCUCCAUCAGACUUUCGUCCAUUGUGGAAGAUUCUCGACUGCAGCCCCCCGUAGG
rnacentral:rRNA from 1 species